CCUACGGGCGGCAGCAGUGAGGAAUAUUGGUCAAUGGACGAGAGUCUGAACCAGCCAAGUAGCGUGAAGGAUGACUGCCCUAUGGGUUGUAAACCUCUUUUAUAUGGGAAUAAAACGUUCCACGUGUGGGAUUUUGUAUGUACCAUAUGAAUAAGGAUCGGCUAACUCCGUGCCAGCAGCCGCGGUAAUACGGAGGAUCCGAGCGUUAUCCGGAUUUAUUGGGUUUAAAGGGAGCGUAGGUGGAUUGUUAAGUCAGUUGUGAAAGUUUGCGGCUCAACCGUAAAAUUGCAGUUGAAACUGGCAGUCUUGAGUACAGUAGAGGUGGGCGGAAUGCGUGGUGUAGCGGUGAAAUGCUUAGAUAUCACGAAGAACUCCGAUUGCGAAGGCAGUUCACUGGACUGCAACUGACACUGAGGCUCGAAAGUGUGGGUAUCAAACAGGAUUAGAUACCCCAGUAGUC
rnacentral:rRNA from 1 species